rnacentral:tRNA from 1 species
GCCUGGGUGGCUUAGUUGGUUAAGCAUCCGACUUUAGCUCAGCUCAUGAUCUUGUGGUUUGUGGGUUCAAGCCCCGCUUUGGGCU